AACUAGCCCCGAUUGCAGCGACAUCCUUUUUUUGUUGCGGCCGCAGCGAAGCGGAGGCCGUGACGAAAAAGAUACAGCGGAAAGCGGGAUUAAGC
rfam:Spinacia oleracea cultivar SynViroflay scaffold91480.con0006.1, whole genome shotgun sequence.